UGGCGGAGAUCUAUAUUUAGUGGACUGAAUGAAGACUGAGAAAAUGCAGUUUGAAAUGCAAGUGUUGUUUGUGUAUGUGAUGCUGAUAAACCUUUGAAGACUUGUGACGUGUAAUUUGCACACGUCACGGCCUCAUGUGCCUCAACAGAAGACUGCAAUACAAGACUGAAGGCGAAAACCCACUCGAGUACAACUCUCAAGACUGAGAAGGGGGCAUCGGUGGGAGUCUGCCUCCUCCUAAAACAAUAACUAAUAACCUAGCAGAGUUGUCCUGUCGGCAUGGGCGACUCACGGGACCGCUUGGACUCGGAUGACGAAGCAGGCAGCGGCGAGGGCGGCGCGGAUGCUCGGGCCGCCGGUAGCGGUGGC